rnacentral:rRNA from 1 species
ACAGCUCAAAUUUGAAAUCUGGCUUUCGGGCCCGAGUUGUAAUUUGUAGAGGAUACUUUUGAUGCGGUGCCUUCCGAGUUCCCUGGAACGGGACGCCAUAGAGGGUGAGAGCCCCGUCUGGUUGGAUGCCAAAUCUCUGUAAAGUUCCUUCGACGAGUCGAGUAGUUUGGGAAUGCUGCUCUAAAUGGGAGGUAUAUGUCUUCUAAAGCUAAAUAUUGGCCAGAGACCGAUA